UACAGGGGGGUGCAAACGUUGCUCGGAAUCAUUGGGCGUAAAGCGCACGUAGGCGGUUCGUUAUGUCGGAUGUGAAAGCCCUUGGCUUAACCGAGGAAGUGCAUCCGAAACUGGCGAGCUAGAGUACGAAAGAGGAUCGCGGAAUUCCCGGUGUAGAGGUGAAAUUCGUAGAUAUCGGGAGGAACACCGGUGGCGAAGGCGGCGAUCUGGGUCGAUACUGACGCUGAGGAGCGAAAGCGUGGGGAGCGAACAGG
rnacentral:rRNA from 1 species